UACGUAGGGUGCGAGCGUUAAUCGGAAUUACUGGGCGUAAAGCGUGCGCAGGCGGUUUUGUAAGCCAGAUGUGAAAUCCCCGGGCUUAACCUGGGAAUGGCAUUUGGGACUGCAAGGCUUGAGUGCGGCAGAGGAGACUGGAAUUCCUGGUGUAGCGGUGGAAAUGCGCAGAUAUCAGGAGGAACACCGAUGGCGAAGGCAGGUCUCUGGGCUGUAACUGACGCUGAGGAGCGAAAGCAUGGGGAGCGAACAGG
rnacentral:rRNA from 1 species